CCAUGACCCCAGAAAAAGCCUAGAGAAAACAACCUCUUUACGAGACAUACCUUGCAAUAGAUGUUUGUUUAACUGGAAAUCCACAAGAGCAGCUGCCCAGUGCAACGGUACAUAUUUGCUUCUGAAUCCUUUCUCAAAGACACUAUUUAAACAUGCUGAUGAACUGAGCUGGAUUUUCCCCCACCUCCAUUCCAGUAAAAUAAGGAGACUCAGAAGAUAAAAUUUGUUUUGUUAUUGCAAGUAGUGCUGUGUGCUAACGAUUCACAUUUAUGAUCUGAGUUUCUCCAUCCAACCAUGCUCUUCCUGACUUUUGAGGAAGAUGUGUCUGUUCAGCCACACUGUUUAUCCACUUCAGAAAUGACCAUCCACUCUUACUGCCUGACAUGAAGCACAAAAGAAGGUAUUUCAUUUAAAAGUACAGCUUUUACAAGGUCAACAUGAAAACACACAUGUAAGUCCCAGGAUAAUAAUCAGACCUUACGGACAAUUUGGAUAAACUUAUUUUCUUUUUUAUGGUAAAUUUUGACUUUUCCACCCAGGUCCUUAAAACCUACAGCUUGAUAAACUAAGCAUGAUGGCUUAAACACAUAUGUAUUUAGAAAUAUUUUUGUAACAAUUUUGCUUCAAAAAUUCUAUUAUCUGUUGUAAGAAAUUUUGUCAAAAUAUAGAUAUUUCCCACAAAAGUUUGUUAGAAAUGCCCAUGAAAGGAAAACAUUUAAUCAGGUAAACCUAAAAUUGUAUACAAGAAUUCUCCUGUCAUACACAGGGUAGCUCAUGGAGAGAAAUAUUCUAAAAAACUUACUCUUUUUCAAAGCAAAUGAUUAGGACAGUAAGUAGGUGCAAAAAAAUAAAGGCAUUCAAUUAUUUCUAACUAAGCAAUCAUUUCUUAAAUGUUAGGCUGGGAAGUCACUCAAAUAGUUGCUCAAAAAGAAUGCACUGGAGUCUACAGAUUAGUUAAAUUGAAUAAUUUAUUGCAAGAACUAAGGACCUGGUUCUCCUUUGUACAGAAGUGUCUUUAUGUGACUCUGGCAGUACUGAUGGGCUGUAAAACAAGUGCUGCAAUUAAUGCCUGACUGAAUGAUCACUGGUACUGACUGGAACAGUGAAAUGAAACUAACCCCCAAAUUUUCCUAAAGAUUUUUCUAAAUGAGAAAUCCCAUAACUGAUAUCAAAAUUACUAACUACUAAAGAAUAGAAAAAAUGCAUUGAUUUUUUAAAUUUGAUUUUUAUGACUGAAGACUUCAGAAAGGUAUUGAUGCUGUGCUAAAAAUACACUGGAAGAGCACAAAGGGCUUCUGUGAUUUCAUUUAGGAAUAGCUUCUUUGUUUUUUGGCCAAGUCAUAACAGGAAAACAAGUAUUUUUCGUGGAAAUGCUGACAUAACUUUACUAAUAGCACCUUUAACAGAGAAUGUUACAAUGUGUAUUUACUCAGGUACAGGAUUAAAUAAGAGAUGUGAACUCACCAUAGCAACCCCUGCAUCACAUUGCAGAUAUGCUGCUUCUAAGAUACGGCAAAUGUUUCUGAAGAAAUACACAUGAAUAUGAGAUUUCACUUGUAGAGGAAAUCUUCACUUCUCACACUGCCUGAGAUGACUGAUAAAGAAGACAGCAAGUAUUCUGGACUGACACAUGUAGUUGUCUCCAUACAUUCUUUCAUCACUUUCAAGGUUUUGUCUCUGUGGCACAGAAAUGCAGGAACCCUAAAUAAAUUUUGAAUAGUUUUAGUAGCAGACGUUUAAUUAAAACCUCAAAGCUUUUUAUUGGCCUCAUUGCCAAUCUGCAUAUUUACAUUUUAUCAGAAAGAAAAGGUUUUUUAUUCUUACAAUCUAACAAGUUUGUUCAUUGAAGAUGUUAAAAAAUCUGUUUAAAGAGUCUACUGACAAAACGCGUUCCCUUACAUACAACUUAUUUUCACUUCAACACCACUUUUCCAUUGGUUUGCUGUAUUUUUUCGCAGGGGGUUAUUUAUACUUGGGGUAAGGGGUGAUGGUCCCUGGUGUUUCUGUGCACUGGGGACAUGCCCUGUUCCCAGGUAAUCCUGGUUAUGAUGGGGUUCACGGGCUCACCUUUCCCAUGAGCUGGGUUCCAAGUCUUUCUUGGUGAAACUCCUGCCCUGGCUCUGUGUUUCCUGGGAUGGUGCCUUGAUUCUGGUGGGAGCUGAGGCUGACUGCCCCAGAGCCUGGGAGAACUGUUUGGUUAUACACUCAUCAGGACUGCUGGCCUCCUCCCAGACGAGCUGUGCAAGGAGCUGUACUUAAUCUCAGGUUUUUAUUCCUUCACCAUGGCUACCUAGUGGUGCAAAACGUGCAGCUGCUGAGGUGAGAAGGGGUGGUUCAGCCAGCAUGAGUGAUACAAAAUGCCUGCCUGAGAAGCUGCCUGACAAUUUCCACCUUUGCUAUCAUUCAAAAUUCCCUUUAAGCUGCUCACUGUUCUUAGUUUUGACUGUCCCUUUGCUCAGCUUAGGGAUAAUGUUAAUUGUGACUCUGCGCUGGCAGAGAUUGUCACAGAGUAUUUGAGUUCUUCCUUGGCUUCUUUAUGUGUGUAGUCCUCCUAGGGUUUUUUUUUGGCUUGUUUGUGGUUGGUUUUUUGUUUGUUUUUUUGCCUGGCUGAUUGAUUCAAGAUACACCACCACAAGUUUAUGAGCUCCUGAAAUGGGGAGUUGUUGGUUGUGGUCCUCAGAUGACUGAAAUGCUAAUAAUAAUACAGCCAAAACAUAUUUAUUAUGAAACAAUCACAUUCUAGAUUACUUCUCAUGAUCAAGGUUUGCACUCUUACUUCAGUUUAACUGAUGGAAAUAGCCUAGUGACCAUGGCAUUGAGUUUCUUAUAUUAGCUUGAGACACUGGUGAUUAACUGUCACAAAGAUAUAACCACAAUUACACUUGCUAUUGUAAAUCCAGAUCACUAAAACCCCUCACAAACUGCAUCAAAAUCAGAAAUGUCUGCCUAAAUGGCUCUCCAAACCAACAUGACCAAUGUCUAUCAUUUUCUGAAACUAGUGACCGUCACCCAUGUGAUGUGGCCAGCAUCACAUUCAGCUGCCUUUGAGACCCUGAAUUCAACAGAGUUUCUAUUUAUAACUAUUUCUAUUUAUUGAAAAUGGCCUUUGGCACCAGGACAGACCAGAGCCUGGUCUUUGGUCUCUGGACCACUAGGGAGAGCCCUGUCUGUCUCCCACACUCUACCUUUACCCUGAACAAAACAACAGCCACUUAUGGAGCUGUGGAAAUGGUUAAUGACUUCCUGUUGCUGUAGAUAUUCACUGGGUGAACUCAUUCAUUAAAAGUAAAAUCACAUCCCCUUCCCUCAUUAUCCUUCCCUCACAAAAAUGCAUUUCAUCUUGACUUUUCUCCCACCUGCCUCAUUCCUGAUGGAAAUAAUCUAUUCCACAUAUUGCAACCUGGUGUUAAAACUAUUAUUUUAUAGUGCUUCAUGUUUAAUUUUUCUUAAAACUGAAUUUCUUAAUUUUUUUAAUGGGAAGAAAAAUCAUCAGCUUUGUAAAAAUGAAAUGUCAGCGUUGCAUGGCUCAGAGAAGUACCAUAAAUUUUUGCUAUUGCUAGUUCCAUCUCAGAUUUCUGGACAGCAUGACUUAUUACUUGCUGUAACUGUGUUUUUGCAUAGUGCUUUCAACUGAAAUAUUUCAAAAAGAAUGUUUCUUUCUCUUUUGCAGUGAACAUUUCUGUUUGACAUCAUAUAGUAAUUCCUCAUCCAUGGUGCUUGAAAUAAGCCAGCUUUAAGGAUUGAUAUAAUAUGUGUCUCGCUGCUGCUCCUCACACCACUCAAGGGAAUGGGACACCCUGAGAGCUAAACAGAUUUAGAAAACAACUGAAAAUAACUAAACUUCUUUCCCAGAUUUGUACAAAUGGUCUCUUUUUAACACUGAACUCCAUAAUCAAAUUUGCCAAUUCACAUUUCUUCCCUUAUUUACGUUUCUUUAAAAUAUGCUUGGCUUUUGUUGUGUUGUUUUGUUUAUUUUUUCAGGUUUGGGUUUUUUGGCUUUUUUUUGGCCAUAGGGUUGGCCUCUUGUUUGUUUGUUUGCAGCUAUUUGAUUUAAGGGAACAAAGAGAUCAAAUAAUCCUCACGUAUUUUUCUUACUGGAAGAAAUCUGUGUAAGUUCUUUUAUUAUCCUUUUCCUUGCCACUGCAAAAAAAUUUCCAUAGAUUAUCAUUACAGAUAUAUUUUACAAUGAAAUAAUGAGUAACACAACACAAACACAUCCAUUCUCUUAAUUGAACAAGCUACAGCUUUUUGGCUGAAACAAACAAUAAUAUUAUUUAUAACUCAAAUCACAUUCCACAAACUAUGUUCUCAUCUGUAAAGAGACUAUAAAUGGCAUGGUAGGGUUUCAUAUUGGUUUUUUCUUUUUUUUUUCUCCAAUGACUUUCCUGUUGACCCCUCUUUUAAUUUACAAAUAAAACCUUGACUUUCUUGACUGCCAGCACUGAAAAUCCACCCUAGGAUCUGAGAUCACGCUGUGUUGUUUCUGCUUUAUGCCAAAAUAGACUCUGGUUCACCUCCUGAGUGCUGAGGUGGCUCUGCAGGGCUGGGAAGAAUGUAAAGAAACAACAGUAGUUUUGCCAGUAAAAAGAUAAAGUGAAUGAAUUCUCUCAAAAGGAGGAAGAUACCAAUUUUCAAGUCAGCUUUAUAGAAAACAGCUGUUCUUUGAAACAAAUGCUCAUAGGAGGGUUGGGGUAGGACAUCUCAUUGCUUGCUGUUCCUGCACAACCUUUUCCCCUUCGGUCUUUCCAGUUCAGCCUGUAGAUCAAUCCAGCUGAGGUGUUUGUGGCUGUGGCUGCGUAGCCUUUUCCCCUGUCAGCAGUGCUGGACUCUGGUGUUUCUGCCCUCUUAGAGCUGUUUGUGCCCUGAUGCUUGCACUGAUGUUGGGAUUUUUGUGUGCAUUGGGUGGAGGGGUGUCCUGUGGAGGUCCCAAGCUUGUCUCUUUCAAGCCAGGUCCCAACACAGCUCUGCAAACAGUUGGGCUGUCUUGGAUAUAUGCUCACCCUUCUGCUUCUGUAUUUCUGGGAUAUCAGAUGAAAUCUAGGAAGUCUCCUAAUUAUUUUUUAAGUUCUGGCCAAGGGUGAACACUCAGCCAGUUUUUUUGCAAUUAGUUACAAAACUUUCUAAAAUUCUUUUGAAGUCAAUCUUCCAUAUCGUAGUCGACAAAUACAUGUUCUCAGUAGUAGUCUGAUAGGUAUAAAAUCCUUUUGGACAGAGCACAAAAACUUUGAGAUGUUCAGCCUCCAUUGGGAAGUCUCUGCAGAGGUUAGGAACCCACUUCACGCAAACACAGACAAACACCCUCUGCUGCCAUGAAGCCUAUCAUGGGAGGACAACUCACCCCUUGCAAGGACAGGAGUUACACAGGGCAGCGAAAUGUGGGCAAAGAAGAGGGCACAAGGCCUGACAGCAGACAUAAAAAGUGCCAACAAGGACUGCCCCAGUGGUUUCUCAGAAGCUGCAAUUACUCCUGUUGCCAGUCAGAAGUACUGAGGCACGUGGUAGGUGAGAAAUACUCCCAGGAAAAUGAUAACAGGUGAGGUCAGGCAAAGAGAGAUUGUAUCCAAAGGCACCCACAAGGCCCCUUUCCCUGUCUGCAGUGGGUCUUAGCACUGCUGGCAGAACACAGGUUCAGCUGCUCAGUCCCAUAAUUCACUGUGUUUUAUUUCUCAUUUAUUAAAGAAUAGAGAGAAGGUAAUGCAUAACAGACUGCAUUACCUGGAGCUCUUUCAGGCUGUGGACCACAAAAUCCCAAAUUCCAACUCUGAGAAAUAAUCAGCUACAGUACUGUUGGUUCUUAGGGACAAGUAAAGUUCAUGGUGACCUGCUGACGUCUAGAUUGUCAGCUGUCCAGUACUGCCUGCCUCUUCCACUGGCUGUCCCCUGCCACCCCAUGCCACCAGCUGUGCUGAGAGCACUGAGCUCAUCACGUAGUGAUGCCGCAAUCCUCCUGGAGAGCCUGAUGAGCACUGAGAAGCAAAGCUGAAAAGUUAUUUCUACUUUAUAACAGGACAGCUUUAACAGGAGAAGAAACACUGAGCCAUGGGGAAUGUGCACUGGCAUUUACAGUUCCUUCUGCAGAUACAGCCUGUGUGAAAUGUUUAUGUCUUCACUGUCUCCUUGGGUUUGAUUAAAGAGAUAUUUAGUGGAACUUUAUCUUUUAUCUUAAAUGUAAUUUGGCUCCCUGGAUAUACACUGACCUGUGGACUAAGAGAAAAGGAAGAUAAUUACAAAAGCUAAUUAAAAUAUCUUCUACGCAAACCAGAGAUUUACACAGAAUUUCCUCUAGAAGAAAUUGCUUUGUGCUUGGUUUGGCUCAAUAAAAUUUAUUUUAAGUUUUAA